rnacentral:rRNA from 1 species
UACGUAGGCAGCAAGCGUUGUUCGGAGUUACUGGGCGUAAAGGGUGUGUAGGCGGUUCUCUAAGUCUGGUGUGAAAUCUCCCGGCUCAACUGGGAGGGUGCGCCCGAAAACUGGAGGACUAGAGUGCGGGAUGGGAGAGUGGAAUUCCUGGUGUAGCGGUGAAAUGCGUAGAUAUCAGGAAGAACACCAACCGGCGAAGGCAGCUCGCUGGGACGGAACUGACGCUGAGGCGCGAAGCGUGGGAGC